rnacentral:rRNA from 1 species
UACGUAGGGGGCAAGCGUUGUCCGGAUUUAUUGGGCGUAAAGAGCGUGUAGGCGGCCAAGCAGGUCAGCUGUGAAAACUCGAGGCUCAACCUCGAGACGUCGGUUGAAACCGCUUGGCUAGAGUCCGGAAGAGGAGAGUGGAAUUCCCGGUGUAGCGGUGAAAUGCGCAGAUAUCGGGAAGAACACCCGUGGCGAAGGCGGCUCUCUGGGCCUGUACUGACGCUGAGGAGCGAAAGCGUGGGGAGCGAACAGG